GGUGACUCAGUGGUAGAGUUCUUGCCUUGCAUGCAUGAGGCCCUGGGUUUGAUUCCUCAGCACCA
rfam:Dipodomys ordii contig_18594, whole genome shotgun sequence.